ACGUUUUUAGUUUAAAUAAGAAUGUUAGCUUGUCGUGCUAGAGGUAAGUUGUUGCUUAAAGCGUG
rnacentral:tRNA from 1 species